rnacentral:lncRNA from 10 species
UUCUGAGGGCAACAUUAUAAGGCUUCAAAAAUAGCACAGUGAGCCAAGAGAAACUGCAAAGACACCGCUGUGGGAUGGUGAUUUGGAUAUAAAAUUCUCUGAGCCAGGAAGAAGAAAAACUGACACGUGAAAAGGGAAGAUAGUGCCUUGAAAAGGGACAAGAAAGGAAAAUGAUUUUUAAUUAGAAGAAUUAAUACAAUAUUCAAUACAGUGGAGUAUGUUUGCUUUUAGAGGAAAGCAGUGGAGGUGGGGGCUGGUGGCUUUGUGAAAAGGGCUAAAAUAUUUUAAAGUCGGGAAUAAACAGAUCUUACUUCAGGCUUGAAUAUAGAUAAAAUAGAAUAUAUUAAGAAGGUAAGAAGUGCUCUGAAUUCAACUCAAGGAAAAGAUUAUACAUGAAGACAGUGGUUUUCACAUCAUCCCAUAAAGUUCUUCCUCUCUGAUCUUAAGAUUUUUGGAAUCUAUCAUUGAACUGGUGGAAAUAAAUUGUUUGAUGCUCACGUGCUUCAAACACUGCAGAGCAGGAUGAAUGCAGUUUCUCUGUGAAAACAUGCACACGUAGGUUUAUUGCGGCACUAUUCACAAUAGCAAAGACUUGGAACCAACCCAAAUGUCCAACAAUCAUAGACUGGAUUAAGAAAAUGUGGCACAUAUACACCAUGGAAUACUAUGCAGCCAUAAAAAAUGAUGAGUCCAUGUCCUUUGUAGGGAUAUGGAUGAAAUUGGAAAUCAUCAUUCUCAGUAAACUAUCGCAAGAACAAAAAACCAA